UAUGAUAAAGCCAAACUCAUCGGGAGGUGAGGACGGAAAGCCACGGAUCUUGAAAAGAUAGCCGGGUUGCCUUAA
rnacentral:ncRNA from 1 species